rnacentral:rRNA from 2 species
AGAGUUUGAUCCUGGCUCAGGACGAACGCUGGCGGCGCGCCUAACACAUGCAAGUCGAACGAGCGAGAGAGAGCUUGCUUUCUCGAGCGAGUGGCGAACGGGUGAGUAACGCGUGAGGAACCUGCCUCAAAGAGGGGGACAACAGUUGGAAACGACUGCUAAUACCGCAUAAGCCCACGGCUCGGCAUCGAGCAGAGGGAAAAGGAGCAAUCCGCUUUGAGAUGGCCUCGCGUCCGAUUAGCUAGUUGGUGAGGUAACGGCCCACCAAGGCGACGAUCGGUAGCCGGACUGAGAGGUUGAACGGCCACAUUGGGACUGAGACACGGCCCAGACUCCUACGGGAGGCAGCAGUGGGGAAUAUUGCACAAUGGGGGAAACCCUGAUGCAGCGACGCCGCGUGGAGGAAGAAGGUCUUCGGAUUGUAAACUCCUGUUGUUGAGGAAGAUAAUGACGGUACUCAACAAGGAAGUGACGGCUAACUACGUGCCAGCAGCCGCGGUAAAACGUAGGUCACAAGCGUUGUCCGGAAUUACUGGGUGUAAAGGGAGCGCAGGCGGGAAGACAAGUUGGAAGUGAAAUCCAUGGGCUCAACCCAUGAACUGCUUUCAAAACUGUUUUUCUUGAGUAGUGCAGAGGUAGGCGGAAUUCCCGGUGUAGCGGUGGAAUGCGUAGAUAUCGGGAGGAACACCAGUGGCGAAGGCGGCCUACUGGGCACCAACUGACGCUGAGGCUCGAAAGUGUGGGUAGCAAACAGGAUUAGAUACCCUGGUAGUCCACACCGUAAACGAUGAUUACUAGGUGUUGGAGGAUUGACCCCUUCAGUGCCGCAGUUAACACAAUAAGUAAUCCACCUGGGGAGUACGACCGCAAGGUUGAAACUCAAAGGAAUUGACGGGGGCCCGCACAAGCAGUGGAGUAUGUGGUUUAAUUCGACGCAACGCGAAGAACCUUACCAAGUCUUGACAUCCCUUGACGAACAUAGAAAUAUGUUUUCUCUUCGGAGCAAGGAGACAGGUGGUGCAUGGUUGUCGUCAGCUCGUGUCGUGAGAUGUUGGGUUAAGUCC